rnacentral:rRNA from 1 species
UGGGGAAUAUUGCACAAUGGGCGCAAGCCUGAUGCAGCCAUGCCGCGUGUGUGAAGAAGGCCUUCGGGUUGUAAAGCACUUUCAGCGGGGAGGAAGGCGAUAAGGUUAAUAACCUUGUCGAUUGACGUUACCCGCAGAAGAAGCACCGGCUAACUCCGUGCCAGCAGCCGCGGUAAUAUGGAGGGUGCAAGCGUUAAUCGGAAUUACUGGGCGUAAAGCGCACGCAGGCGGUCUGUCAAGUCGGAUGUGAAAUCCCCGGGCUCAACCUGGGAACUGCAUUCGAAACUGGCAGGCUAGAGUCUUGUAGAGGGGGGUAGAAUUCCAGGUGUAGCGGUGAAAUGCGUAGAGAUCUGGAGGAAUACCGGUGGCGAAGGCGGCCCCCUGGACAAAGACUGACGCUCAGGUGCGAAAGCGUGGGGAGCAAACAGG